CCUAUGCAAGAGCCUUGUUGCUCUGUCUAUGGGAUCAUAUUUCUAUUCCUUUUAAAUAUCACAUGACUUCUCACAUGUUUGCUUCAGCCAAAGAUCCUCUCACCUGUGUCUGCUUCAGUAAAACAUCCUCUCACCUGUCUGCUUCAGCAAAAUAUCACAUGCCAUAACUGUGCCUCCAAAGAACCAGAAAUUUCCACUUCACAUUAGUGUCCAGACUAGGGUUACCAUUGUUGUGAUAAAACACUGACCAAGAACAAGUUUAAGAGGAAAGAGUUUGCAUGGCUUACACAUCCACAUCACUGUUCAUCAUUAAAGAAACUCAUCUGACCGGAAAAAAGAACCAGGAACCAGGAACCAGGAACCAGGAACCAGGAACCAGGAACCAGGAACCAGGAACCAGGAACCAGGAACUGAUGUAGAGGGUGCGGAGGAGGACUGCCUGUGACUUGUUUGUUCCCCAGCCUGCCUUGAACAGCUGCCUAGAAAUGGAUCUACCUGCAAUGGAAUGGACCCUCAUACAUCGAUGUCAAAUUAAGAAAACACACUACAGGCUUUCUGUAACCUGAUUGUAUGGGAGCAUUUUCCGGAUUGAGGUUCCAUCUUUUCCAGUGACUAUAGCUUAUAUCAAUUGACAUAAAACCAGUGAGAAUUCCUUUCCUCCCUCUCUUACCUAAGGAUCUCAUGGACAAGAGAUAACAGAAGAAAAUAGCAGAGGCAAGCAUGGGAAGGAAAAUGUAUGCCGACAGUCAUAGGAAGGGAACAUUUGAGGAUAUGUAACUACAGUAAAGAAAUACAGAAGAACAUAGUGUCUGAGUCUAAUAAAUAUUCUAUACUGA